CCUACGGGAGGCAGCAGUGAGGAAUAUUGGUCAAUGGACGAGAGUCUGAACCAGCCAAGUAGCGUGAAGGAUGACUGCCCUAUGGGUUGUAAACUUCUUUUAUAUGGGAAUAAAAUGUUCCACGUGUGGGAUUUUGUAUGUACCAUAUGAAUAAGGAUCGACUAACUCCGUGCCAGCAGCCGCGGUAAUACGGAGGAUCCGAGCGUUAUCCGGAUUUAUUGGGUUUAAAGGGAGCGUAGGUGGAUUGUUAAGUCAGUUGUGAAAGUUUGCGGCUCAACCGGAAAAUUGCAGUUGAAACUGGCAGUCUUGAGUACAGUAGAGGUGGGUGGAAUUCGUGGUGUAGCGGUGAAAUGCGUAGAUAUGACGAAGAACUCCGAUUGCGAAGGCAGCUCACUGGACUGCAACUGACACUGAGGCUCGAAAGUGUGGGUAGCAAACAGGAUUAGAUACCCGUGUAGUC
rnacentral:rRNA from 1 species